GCCGGGAUGGCGGAACUGGUAGACGCGCCGGAUUCAAAAUCCGGUUCUGGAGACAGAGUGGGGGUUCGAUUCCCCCUCCCGGCACCA
rnacentral:tRNA from 1 species